GUGCUUGGCCUCAGCAGCACAUAUACUAAAAUUGGAACGAUACAGAGAAGAUUAACCUGGCCCAUUUGCAAGGAUGUUAGAGCAGGGCAAAAGCUAAGUGUGGAU